rnacentral:rRNA from 1 species
CGGGCCGUAGCCUAAUACAUAGCAAGUCAGCGAGACUGAAUUCAAAGAGUCCUUUCCGGGGAUGAGUUUUGUUGGUACGCGUAGCGGCGGAUAGGGUGAGUAACGACUGGGCAAUCUGCCCUAAAGACUGGGAUACCACUUGGAACAGGUGCUAAUACCGAUAACACAUGAAUCGCAUGAUUCAAGUUUGAAAGGCGGCGUAAGCUGUCACUUUAGGAUGAGCCCGCGGCGCAUUAGCUAGUUGGUGGGUAAAGGCCUACCAAGGCAAUGAUGCGUAGCCGAGUUGAGAGACUGAUCGGCCACAUUGGGACUGAGACACGGCCCAAACUCCUACGGGAGGCAGCAGUAGGGAAUCUUCCACAAUGGACGCAAGUCUGAUGGAGCAACGCCGCGUGAGUGAAGAAGGUUUUCGGAUCGUAAAGCUCUGUUGUUGGUGAAGAAGGGUAGAGGCAGUAACUGGUCUUUAUUUGACGGUAAUCAACCAGAAAGUCACGGCUAACUACGUG